rnacentral:lncRNA from 1 species
UAACCACUUACCGUUGCCUCUUCCCAUCCCGCUCUUCUCGCACCGAAUCUUUUCCCCAGGUGAGGAUUCUCAGGAGACUGGUUGUGCUCAAGAGAUGCCAAUUUAGAACAGACCAGCAAGCCCCAGGCCUUCAGUCCUAGGACUCCUCGAAGUUCCUUGCUUUGCCAAGAGGGGGCAGAGUUGACAGUGGCAACAAGGCCAACAUUGGGAGUGGGAGCAGGGCAGUGUGGGCAGUUGUGUCUCUACCCAUGUGCUCCCACAAAAACUCUCACCCUGGCAGAGUCAGGCCUAUUGUGGCAGCCAUAGCCUGUGGUUAGUAGUCAUCUGCUGAUAUGUGAAAGGUUGAAUAUGGUAUCAGAGAGGCAGUUUGGGAGUAUACAUGAAUAACAUACGCAAAGCUGGGUUAUAUCAAAAUCAAAUGUUUGAAAAUUCAGGCUUGCCAGUACAAGACUCAUGUAGAUCACAACAGUUUGUGAGAUACUUACUCAGUUUCCUUGAUUAUUUAAAUAUUAUCUUGAAUCUAUUCCCAGCUGACAUGAUCCUUAUCUAUUUAUUCUUUCCACCACCCCCCCCCCCACCAUGUGCUCUUAAAUAGAGGAAUGGUGUGUAUUACAGAUUCCAAAAAUGUCUUUUUCUUUAUUUGGUCUCUGGGAACCCAAAAUUAGCUGUUGCUAUGAUUGUAUAUUAACCAAAAAAUCAUAAACGCAUACAGGUCCAUCCUAGCAUUAGAGUAGAAACAUGACUUGGGCAUUUAGAAGCUGUUACAUACUGUUUUUUUAUGGUGAUUUACUGCUUAGUUUUAAUAGAUCAACAAAUUAUUCUGUUACAACUGAAAUUGAUUCCUUUCCAUUAAUUAAAAAUGUAAUGAGGGGCGCCUGGGUGGCGCAGUCGGUUAAGCGUCCGACUUCAGCCAGGUCAUGAUCUCGCGGUCCAUGAGUUCGAGCCCCGCGUCGGGCUCUGGGCUGAUGGCUCAGAGCCUGGAGCCUGUUUCCGAUUCUGUGUCUCCCUCUCUCUCUGCCCCUCCCCCGUUCAUGCUCUGUCUCUCUCUGUCCCAAAAAUAAACGUUGGAAAAAAAAAAAUUAAAAAAAAAAAAAAAUGUAAUGAGAUACUGGUUGGAUCACUUGGAUCAAGUGGUUUAAAUGUGUAUUUACUUCCCUGUAGGAUAGAUAUAUAUAAAGCCAACAUCUUAGCAUUUAGGGAGGAUAAAAUGUGAUAAUGUCUGAGAAAGUACUUGGUGAAUGUAAACUAACAGCCAUGCGCCAAAAAAUUAGCUACCUUAUAAAUUUAUGUAGAUACCCGAAGCUCGGCAUAAUUGAAAGUUAUUUUAGAUUUAAUCAGUAUACAAAAGAUAGGUAGCAUCCUUUAGAAUAAUGGUUAUUUUAACUGUUCUACACAAAUCUAUCACACCCUUUGGCUCUGGAAUUCCUUAGAGAAAAGAGUAUAAUUGCAAUUGAUCUUCAAUCAUGUUCAAUCUGCAGAUCUCCACACAAGAGGAAUCUGUGAAACAAUACACAACCCAUACUGAGUCCUAUCACAUACAUUAUUUAUGUCAAGUGAGCACCUUCCUCUGGAGUAGUAGUAUACUCUGUAGUUGUCUUUUCUCUUCCAUAUCUCUUUGUUAACUGACUUCCAUUACCUAAGUCUAUCUUCCCAACUCCUGUCAUUGUAGGCAGAAGCAUCAUGGUCUUUCAUAUUUUAUAGUGUUUGGCUUGUAUGUUCCAGGUGUGUAAUAAAUACUUUGCUACUUUUUUUUAAAACCUUACCUUUUUUUUUUUUACUCUUUUUCUUUUAGAAACUCCUCAAGCGUUCACAUUGGCUUUUUCUGUCAAGACUACAUUGUUGACCAGCUAAUAACAUCCAGGUAAGCACUGUCUUUUGUGAAGACUCCUUCAUAAGCCCCUGAGAGCCAACCAUUUCAUUGGGCUUGAAAGUGCUGACUUGAAAGAACCAUACACUUAAUCGUCAAGUACACAGGAAUAUUAUUAGUUAUGUGUUAAUAUGUGUUAAUCUCGUCUUCCCUACAAGAGUAUCAAACACUCAGGGAACUGAUGGAGCAUUUGUUCUAUUGUGUUUUGAUGUUGGCAUCUUGGAUCUCGGGAGCUACUUAUUGCAUCUUUCUUCCCAGCCUUGUCUCUCCCAGCAAAGGACUAAACUCAUUUUAACAGAUUAAUAAACCAAAGAUCCUAGAGAUUAAGGUACUUACCUAGAGUCACAUGACUUUUAAGGAAUGAUAGAGCCAGGAUUUGACUGUGGCUCUCUGAUUCAAGAUAUUUUCAGACAAAAUAUCUGGAGUUUACCACCAACAGAAAACACUCCCUGAUGCAAGAAGCAAAGAAAUUGGUAAGUAAGUGGUUAAAAUUAAAAAUGCAAUAAAGGAAUAAUACUAACAAUGUGUGUAGUUAAUGAAGUAAGGCAAGAUGGAACUAAUAUCCUGGACAACAAAGUCGUACUUUGAAGUGGGAAGGGUGGGAUGAUGAUUAGACUUAAAGUUUUCCAAAGUCCUUGUAUUGUUUGGGAAGACAAUAAAAAUAUUGAUUAAGCUUUAUUCUUUUAAGUAUUCAAGUUAAAAUAUCUCAGGUAACUAAGAGUUUUAAUUUCUAAAUUAAUAGAGGGAGAAAAUAGAAUAAAAAUCCAACAAAAGCAUCAUGAUGAUAGAAAAAAGAAACAAAUAGUGAAACAAAUAGAAAUCACAAAUAAUAUGGUAAAAAAUAAAUGCAAAUAUUUCAGUAACUAUAGUAAAUGUAAGCCGAAUAAAGUCUCCAAUUUAAAAAAAGAAUGCAGGGGCGCCUGGGUGGCUUAGUCGGUUAGACUUCGGUUCAGGUCAUGUUCUCACAGUUUGUGGUUCAAGCCCGCGUUGGGCUCUGUGCUGCCAGCUCAGAGCCUGGAGCUUGCUUCUGAUUCUGUGUCUCCCUCUCUCUGGCCCUCCCCCGCUCACGCUCUGUCUCACUCUCUCUCUCAAAAAAAACAUUAAAAAAUUUUUUUUUAAAUAAUAAAAAAUAAAAAAAGAAUGCAAACAGACAAGAAAACAAAAUCCAACAAUAUGCUAUUUUUGAAACAUUCUCAAAACGAAGAACAUAGAAAAAUGUAGGAGGAUGGAAAAAGAUGUCAGGCUAAUAUAUCAGUAGAAAGCUUACCGGUAACAUCAGACAAACUAAGAAUAAAUGAAGGUUGCUAAAUAAUGGUAAGUUCAGGACCCUAGGACUUCAGAAUUCUAAACGUGUAUGUUCAUAAUUACAGGUCCUUAAAAUACUGAAAGCAAACUUUCACAGAACUAUGAGAAAAAUGUAUAAAUUUCCCACUGUAGUGGAGAUUUUAAUACACCUCAAAAUAAUGAAUGGAUAGAUCUUACAAGAAUCAGAAGAUAUGAGCAACAUAAUUAAGAGAUUAAGGGGCACCUGGGUGGCUGUGUCAAACGUCUGACUCUGGAUUUCAGCUCAGGUCAUGAUCUCAUGGUUUGUGAGUUUGAGCCCCACGUGUGGCUCUGCACUGACAGUGCGGAGCCUGCUUAGGAUUCUCUCUCUCUACCUCCCUCUCUGCCCCUCCCCUGCUCAUGCUCUCUCUCUCAAAAUAAAUAAAGUUUAAAAAAAAACAAGACUGAAUUAAUAGACAUAUUAAAUGUUGUACUUAAUAGAGCAUUCAUAUCCUUUUAAUGCACACAUGUGAGAUUUAUGAAGAUUGACCACAUGUAUGUCCAUGUGGUAAUUCUCAACAAAUUUUAGAUGACGGAUGUUGCAUAAGCCACAUUCUCUAACAAACAUGCAAUUAAGUCAGAAAUCACUAAGGGGAGAAAAAUACAUUUGAAUAUUGAAACACAUGCUUGCAAAUAACUUGGUCAGAAAAAAAAAAACUAUGAUGGGAAUUACAAAAUAAUUGGAACUAAAGAACAAUGAAAUGUAAAUCCUGGAUUUUCCUCACUAGGAAAAUUUUUUUUCUUUUUGUUUUGUAUCUAGAUAAGAAGAUGCAUUUAGCAGAGCCUAAUGUGGUCAUCACUUCACAAUAUAUGCAAAUCAGACCAUCACACUGUAUGCCUCAAACUUACAUGGUGAUUUAAUGCAAUUAUUUCUCAAUAAAACUGGAAAAAAUAGUGAAAUACCAAAAUCAUAGAUAAAGCUAAAGCAGUAAUUAAAGGGAAAUUAGGAAUUUAAAUACUUAUGGAGGAAAAGACAAAAUUGACAAUUACAUGUCAAACCUAAAGUAGAAGUAAAGAAAAAAUAAAGAUGAGAGUACAAAAUUAAUGAAAGAAAAGGCAUACAAUGGAGAAGAUGCACAAAGCCAACAAUUCUUUCUGAACGAACAAUUUGACCAAACUCUGACAAACUGGGGAAAAAGUAGAAGAUACAAGUAAUGAGAAGAGGGACAAAACUGUGGAAACUACUGCAAUGAUAAAAUUGACCCAAAAAAUGAACAAUCUGAUAUCAAUAAAUCUGAAAACUUAGAUCAACUCGGAUAACUUUCUAAGAUAAUAGAAAUUAGCAAAACUGAUUUAGUGAGAAAUGAAAAACCUAUCUGUUCCUAAAACUAUGAAAAAAUUAAUCAGUAGUAUGGGGUGCUUUGGUGGCUCAUCGGUUAAGUGGCUGGCUCUUGAUUUCAGCUCCGGUCAUGAUUUCACAGUCAUGGGAUCCACCUGCAUCGGGCUCUACACUCAGCAUGGAGCCUGUUUGGAAUUCUCUCUCUCCCUCUUUCCCUGCCCCUCCCUCGCUCGUUCUCUCAAAAUAGAUAAACUUUUUAAAAAAUGUUUAAUAAGAUUAAUCAGUAGUCAAUUUUCCCUCAAAAAGAAAGGAAGGGGUAGAAGGACAGACAGACUCAGACAAAGAUAGGACAAAAAAGGAAAAGGUUACAAGCUAUUCUCAUUCUUCAACAAAGAUGGAAUAAUCCUGAACAAAAUAUUAAAGCAAAUCCAGCGAUUCAUCAAAAAGAUAAAAACUAUAAUCAAGUUGAAUUUAUUUCAGGAAUGAAAGGGUUCAAUGUUGCAAACUUUUUAAAGCAAUUCACCAUACUGACAAAUUAUGAUGGUGUGAUAGGCAGAAUAAUAGCUCCCCAAAGAUGUCCACUUCCUCAUCCCUAGAACCUGUGAGUAUUUUUCUUUUUGCAGCAAAAGGGACUUGGAUGUGAUUGAGUUCCACACCUUGGGAUGGGGAGGUUAUCUUGGAUUAUCUGGGCUCAGUCUAAUAAUAAAUCCUAAAAAUGGAAGAGGAAGGCAAAAGAGAGAUGAAAAAGGGCAAGGACUUAACCUGCCUGUUUGCUGGCUUUGAAAAUGGAGGAAAAGGGCCAUGAGCCAAGGAAUGUGGCAGCCUCUGCAAGAUGAAAAUAACCCUCACUCAUUUUUACAGCCAGCAAGAAAAUAGGGACUGUGGUCCUACAACCUCUAGGAACUGAAUUCUGCCAAUAACCCAAAUGAGCAGGAAAUAGAUUUUCUCCCAGAGCCUCCAGAAUGGAAUGCAACCUGCCAAUACUGUUUUUAGUUCAGUUAGACCCAUACUGGAUUUCUGGUGUGCGGAAAUUUAUGUUGUCUUAUGCUUCUAAGUUUGUAGCAAUUUGUUACAUCAGCAAUUGAAAGCUAAUACAAGAUGGUACAACCAAAUACUUUUAGAUGCAGGCAAAAGUGUUAACUUUCAGUAACCAUUCUUAAUUUUAAAAAAAGAAAAGAAAGAGAAAAAAAAAAAACCUUUAACAAACCAGGAAUAGAAUGAAACUUCCUUAACCUGAUAAAGAUCUAGAGCAAACAUGAUACAUCAUUGUGAAAUCAUUUUUUAUUUCUUUUGAAAUUAAAAAGCAAAAUGUUUGCUAUCACAUUUCUUUUUUUCUUUUUUUCUUUUCUUUUUCUUUUUCUUUUUUUUUUUUUUUUUUUGCUAUCACCACUUCUUUUCAAAUUGUACUUGAGUCCUAGCCAGCAAAAUAAAACAAUGCAAGAAAUAAAACAGGUAAGAAGUAAAAAGGACAGUUGUUAUUUACAGGUGGUAUGAUUGUCUAUUUAGAGAAGCCCAAAUCAUUUACAGAACAAUACUUAGAACUAAAAACGUUUCUUCAAGUUUUUCAGAUUAAAAAAAAAAGUCAACUUCAUUUCCAUAAUCCAGCAGUUAGAAAGCACAAGCAAAUAAAACAUACCAUUUACAAAAACAACACCAACAUCAAAAUAUGAGAGCUAGGUUAUCUUACUGGUUAUCCAUCUGGAGAGCAAGUAAAAAUGGAUCCUUAUUUCAUAUUUAACCCAAAAGUCAAUUCCAGAUGGAUUAAAGACUUCAAUAUGAAAGGCAAAACAUGGAAAGAUUUAGAAUAAAAUAUAGAAUAAUACAUCAUCUUUAGUACAUGCCCAUGUGAUAGAAAAAAUGUUCUUAAAAUUCAAAGUGCAAACCAAAGGGGUCAAAACUCAGCUCUUUUGAAACUUUGUCGUCAGAAGACAAAAAGUGAAAGGAAAAAUCAUAAACUGGACAGAAAGACCUGCAACACACAUAACAACAACAACAAAAGUGUCUACACCCCAGUAUAGUGGUACUAACCACAUACAACUGGCAAGUACUUAAAAUGUAACUAGGCCAAAUUAAGAUGUGUGUAAGUAUGAAAAAGACACCAGAUUGCAAAGAGUUAGUACAAAAAAAAAAAAUAUAUAUAUAUAUACAUGUAUAUAUGUAUGCAUGUAUUACAUGUUGAAAUGAUAAUAUCUUGGUAAGUAUAUUGUAUUAUUAAGUAAAAAAUAUAAAAAAUAAUUUGGCCUGUUUCUUAUCACUAUUUUAAAUGAGGCUUCUAGAAAAUUUGAAAUUACAUUUUGACUUGCAUUUUAUUUCUGUUGGACAGCACUGAUCUAGAAUAUAUAAGGAACUCGUGCAAAUCAGGGGAAAAAAACAGUUUUUUAAAUUGGCAAAUAUCACCAAAGAGGACAAAUUAAUAGCUAAGAAACAUUGAAAAGAUGUUUUAGGGAAAUCAGAUACGAUGCAGUGUUAGUGGGAGUGUUAAUUAGUAUAAUAGCUUUGGAAAACAAUUUGACUUUACCUAGUAAAGAUGAGUAUGGGCAUACCUACAACCCAACAACUACACUCUUAGAUAUGCAAACUAGAGAAACUUGCACAUGUACCACAAAGGCCAUGUUUGGAAAUGUUCUUAGCAGUAUUGGCAAAUGUCCCAUCAACUGUAGUGUAUUUAUGUAAGGAAUGAUUAAACAGCAUUUGAAAACAGGGGCUCCUGGGUGGCUAAGUUGGUUAAGUGUCCAAGUUCAGCUCAGGUCAUGAUUUCACAGUUCAUGAGUUCAAGCCCCACAUUGAGCUUUCCACUCUCAGCCCAGAGCCUGCUUCAAAUCUUCUGUAUCCCUCUCUCUCUGCCCCUGCCCCCCAAAGAAUAAAAAAUAAGAUGAAAUUUCCAGCUACACCUAUCAAAAUGGUUAAAUCUCAGGAACAGGGGUGCCUGGGUGGCUCUGUCAGUUAAGCGUCCCACUUUGGCUCAGGCCAUGAUCUCAUGGUUUAUGGGUUCAAGUCCCACAUCGGGCUGUGUGCUGACAGCUUGGAGCGUGCUUGGAUUCUGUGUCUCCCUCUCUCUGUACCCCUCCCCUGCUCAUGGUCUGUAUCUCAAAAAAUAAUAAUAAUAAAAAUAAAUGUUAAAAAAUAAAUCUUAAUAACAUAAUAAGCAGAAAAAAAGACAUAAAAGGAUAUAUAAUUUUUUUUCUAUUUAUAUGAAGUUUUACAAGUCAAAAUUAACAGAUUAUGCAGGGAUUUAAACAAGAAAAUUCAGGGGUGCCUUGGUAGCUCAGUCAGUUAAGCAUCUGAAGCUUGAUUUUGGCUCAGGUCAUGAUCUCAUGGUUCAUAAGAUGGAGCCCCACAUCAGACUCUGCACUGACAGUGUGGAACCUCCUUGAGAUUCUCUUUCUCUCUCUGCCCC